rnacentral:snoRNA from 1 species
CCCCAGGGCUUUCGUCAGGGUGCUCUCGUGCUUUUUGCUCAAUGGGAGAUUGUCCGUUACAACCCUGGAAGAUUAAUAUCCAUCUCCAACGUCCCUGGUCUGGUCUUCAGAUUAGGGACUGAUGGCCCCCGUUUUGGGGUGUUGUCGCCGGAUACCGGAUGUGUUUCAGCUGAGUUGAAGACAGCCACGGUCCUGUUGGACAGCACAUGGUUGUCUUCUUAGUAAUGAUUCACACAUUU